UUGUUUGCAUUUGCAGCAGGUGCCUGU
rnacentral:piRNA from 1 species